GAACGCUGGCGGCGGGCUUAACACAUGCAAGUCGAGCGGUAACAGGGGGUGCUUGCACCCCGCUGACGAGCGGCGGACGGGUGAGUAAUGCUUAGGAAUCUGCCCAGUAGUGGGGGAUAGCCCGGGGAAACCCGGAUUAAUACCGCAUACGUCCUACGGGAGAAAGCAGGGGAUCUUCGGACCUUGCGCUAUCGGAUGAGCCUAAGUCGGAUUAGCUAGUUGGUGGGGUAAAGGCCUACCAAGGCAACGAUCCGUAGCUGGUUUGAGAGGAUGAUCAGCCACAUCGGGACUGAGACACGGCCCGAACUCCUACGGGAGGCAGCAGUGGGGAAUAUUGGACAAUGGGGGCAACCCUGAUCCAGCCAUGCCGCGUGUGUGAAGAAGGCUUUCGGGUUGUAAAGCACUUUCAGUAAGGAGGAAAACCUUACGGUUAAUAACCGUGAGGCUUGACGUUACUUACAGAAGAAGCACCGGCUAACUCCGUGCCAGCAGCCGCGGUAAUACGGAGGGUGCAAGCGUUAAUCGGAAUUACUGGGCGUAAAGCGCGCGUAGGUGGUUCAGUCAGUCAGAUGUG
rnacentral:rRNA from 1 species